GGGAUUUAUGAAGGAUGGAGCACGGUGGUUGGUGGACAACACUGACAUUAAACUUGUUGGAAUUGAUUACUUAUCUGUUGCUGCAUAUGAUGAUUUGAUUCCGUCCCACCUUGUUUUUCUAGAAGGCAGGGAAAUCAUUCUUGUUGAAGCCUUAAAACUUGAUGACAUCCAACCAGGAAUAUAUUCUGUCCACUGCUAACC